rnacentral:rRNA from 1 species
GAUGAUGUGGUUUAAUUCGAUGCAACGCGAAAAACCUUACCCACCUUUGACAUGGCAGGAACUUACCAGAGAUGGUUUGGUGCUCGAAAGAGAACCUGCACACAGGUGCUGCAUGGCUGUCGUCAGCUCGUGUCGUGAGAUGUUGGGUUAAGUCCCGCAACGAGCGCAACCCUUGCCAUUAGUUGCUACNUUCAGUUGAGCACUCUAAUGGGACUGCCGGUGACAAACCGGAGGAAGGUGGGGAUGACGUCAAGUCCUCAUGGCCCUUAUAGGUGGGGCUACACACGUCAUACAAUGGCUGGUACAAAGGGUUGCCAACCCGCGAGGGGGAGCUAAUCCCAUAAAGCCAGUCGUAGUCCGGAUCGCAGUCUGCAACUCGACUGCGUGAAGUCGGAAUCGCUAGUAAUCGUGGAUCAGAAUGUCACGGUGAAUACGUUCCCGGGUCUUGUACACACCGCCCGUCACACCAUGGGAGCGGGUCUCGCCAGAAGUAGGUAGCCUAACCGCAAGGAGGGCGCUUACCACGGCGGGGUUCGUGACUGGGGUGAAGUCGUAACAAGGUAGCCGU